rnacentral:rRNA from 1 species
CCUACGGGUGGCUGCAGUGGGGGAUAUUGCACAAUGGGCGCAAGCCUGAUGCAGCGACACCGCGUGAGCGAAGACGUCUUUCGGUAUGUAAAGCUCUAUCAGCAGGGGAGUAAAUUACGGUACCUGACUAAGAAUCUCCGGCUAAAUACGUGCCAGCAGCCGCGGUAAUACGUAUGGAGCAAGCGUUAUCCGGAUUUACUGGGUGUAAAGGGAGCGUAGGCGGCCCUGUAAGUCAGAUGUGAAAGUUUGGGGCUCAACCCCAAACGUGCAUUGGAAACUGCAGGGCUUGAGUGCCGGAGAGGCAGGCGGAAUUCGUGGUGUAGCGGUGAAAUGCGUAGAUAUUAGGAGGAACACCGAUGGCGAAGGCAGCCUGCUGGACGGUAACUGACGCUGAGGCUCGAAAGCGUGGGGAGCAAACAGGAUUAGAUACCCUUGUAGUC